rnacentral:rRNA from 1 species
GAAAACUCCGGUGGUAAAAGAUGGGCAUGCGUUGUAUUAGCUAGUUGGUGAGGUAACGGCUCACCAAGGCGACGAUACAUAGGGGGACUGAGAGGUUAACCCCCCACAUUGGUACUGAGACACGGACCAAACUCCUACGGGAGGCAGCAGUGAGGAAUAUUGGUCAAUGGACGCAAGUCUGAACCAGCCAUGCCGCGUGCAGGAAGACGGCUCUAUGAGUUGUAAACUGCUUUUGUACGAGGGUAAAUGCAGGUACGUGUAUCUGUUUGAAAGUAUCGUACGAAUAAGGAUCGGCUAACUCCGUGCCAGCAGCCGCGGUAAUACGGAGGAUCCAAGCGUUAUCCGGAUUUAUUGGGUUUAAAGGGUGCGUAGGCGGUUUUAUAAGUUAGAGGUGAAAUCUCGGGGCUCAACUCCGAAAUUGCCUCUAAUACUGUAGGACUAGAGAGUAGUUGCGGUAGGCGGAAUGUAUGGUGUAGCGGUGAAAUGCUUAGAGAUCAUACAGAACACCGAUUGCGAAGGCAGCUUACCAAACUAUAUCUGACGUUGAGGCACGAAAGCGUGGGGAGCAAACAGGAUUAGAUACCCUGGUAGCCCACGCAGUAAACGAUGAUAACUCGUUGUCGGCGAUACACAGUCG